UACGUAGGGUGCAAGCGUUGUCCGGAAUUAUUGGGCGUAAAGAGCUCGUAGGCGGUUUGUCGCGUCUGCCGUGAAAACCUGGGGCUUAACUCUGGGCGUGCGGUCGAUACGGGCAUCACUAGAGUUCGGCAGGGGAGACUGGAAUUCCUGGUGUAGCGGUGAAAUGCGCAGAUAUCAGGAGGAACACCGGUGGCGAAGGCGGGUCUCUGGGCCGAUACUGACGCUGAGACGCGAAAGCGUGGGGGAGCAAACAGGAUUAGA
rnacentral:rRNA from 1 species